ACGAACGCUGGCGGCGUGCUUAACACAUGCAAGUCGAACGGAAAGGCCCCGCUUUUGUGGGGUGCUCGAGUGGCGAACGGGUGAGUAACACGUGAGUAACCUGCCCUUGACUUUGGGAUAACUUCAGGAAACUGGGGCUAAUACCGGAUAGGAGCUCCUGCUGCAUGGUGGGGGUUGGAAAGUUUCGGCGGUUGGGGAUGGACUCGCGGCUUAUCAGCUUGUUGGUGGGGUAGUGGCUUACCAAGGCUUUGACGGGUAGCCGGCCUGAGAGGGUGACCGGGCACAUUGGGGGUGGGAGAAGGCCCAAAGCCCCACGGGGGGGACAGGGGGGGAAUAUGGCACAAUGGGCGGGAGCCUGAUGCGGAAAAGCCGCGUGGGGGAGGGGGGCGUUCGGGUUUUAAACCCCUUUCCCCUGUGACGAAGGGGGGGUGAGGGGAAGGGGUAAAAAAAAACCGGGUAAAUACGU
rnacentral:rRNA from 1 species